rnacentral:rRNA from 1 species
UACGUAGGGUGCAAGCGUUAAUCGGAAUUACUGGGCGUAAAGCGUGCGCAGGCGGUGAUGUAAGACAGUUGUGAAAUCCCCGGGCUCAACCUGGGAACUGCAUCUGUGACUGCAUUGCUGGAGUGCGGCAGAGGGGGAUGGAAUUCCGCGUGUAGCAGUGAAAUGCGUAGAUAUGCGGAGGAACACCGAUGGCGAAGGCAAUCCCCCUGGGCCUGCACUGACGCUCAUGCACGAAAGCGUGGGGAGCAAACAGGG